rnacentral:sRNA from 1 species
UGAGAUGUAAAAAGCGGCGGGUGCGC